rfam:Gossypium raimondii Chr07_contig_1165, whole genome shotgun sequence.
UAUUAAAAAUUUUAUCCAAUUGUACUUAUAAAAAUUUGCAUGACUAACGGAAUAACCAAACAAUGUCAUAUAGCAUUCUACGUGUACCUAAUGCUAACAUACAAAAACCCGUUUUUAAUAGUACAAAUGAAUGAAAUUUAAAA